ACCCUGCAGGAAAUGUUUGGCUGCGGUGGGGCCCGACGGGCGCCUCCUCCGCUGGUAUGAACAGUACGCCUUCGACGGCAAGGAUUACAUCGCCCUGAACCAGGACCUGCGCUCCUGGACCGCCGCGGACACGGCGGCUCAGAUCACCCAGCGCAAGUGGGAGGCGGCCAAUGUGGCUGAGCAAAGGAGAGCCUAUCUGGAGGGCACCUGCGUGGAGUGGCUCCGCAGACACCUGGAGACCGGGAAGGAGACGCUGCAGCGCACCCCCCCCAAAACACACGUGACCCACCACCCUGUCUUUGACUAUGAGGCCACCCUGAGGUGCUGGGCCCUGGGCUUCUACCCUGCGGAGAUCACACUGACCUGGCAGUGGGAUGGGGAGGGCCAGACCCAGGACAUGGAGCUCCUGGAGACCAGGCCCGCAGGGGAUGGAACCUUCCAGAAGUGGGCGGCUGUGGUGGUGCCUUCUGGAGAGGAGCAGAGAUUCAUAUGCCAUGUGCAGCAUGAGGGUCUGCCCAAGCCUCUCACCCUGAGAUGGGAGCCCUCUCUCCAGACCACCAUCCCCAUCAUAGUUAUCGUUGCUGGCCUGGUUGUCCUUGUAGCUGUCAUCACUGGAGCUGUCGUUGCUGCUGUGCUAUGGAGGAAGAAGAGCUCAGAUAGAAAAGGAGGAAGCUACUCUCAGGCUGCAAGUAGCCAAAGUGCCCAGGGCUCUCAUAUGUCUGUCACAGCUUAUAAAGGUGAGACCCUGGGGGGCCUGAUGUAUGUGGGGUGUUGGGGGGAACAGUGGACACAGCUGUGCUAUGGGGUUUCUUUGACUUGGAUGUAUUGAGCACGUGAUGGGCUGUU